rnacentral:rRNA from 1 species
AGAGUUUGAUCCUGGCUCAGAUUGAACGCUGGCGGCAGGCUUAACACAUGCAAGUCGAGCGGGGAAGGGUAGCCUGCUACCUGACCUAGCGGCGGACGGGUGAGUAAUGCUUAGGAAUCUGCCUAUUAGUGGGGGACAACAUUCCGAAAGGAAUGCUAAUACCGCAUACGCCCUACGGGGGAAAGCAGGGGAUCUUCGGACCUUGCGCUAAUAGAUGAGCCUAAGUCAGAUUAGCUAGUUGGUGGGGUAAAGGCCUACCAAGGCGACGAUCUGUAGCGGGUCUGAGAGGAUGAUCCGCCACACUGGGACUGAGACACGGCCCAGACUCCUACGGGAGGCAGCAGUGGGGAAUAUUGGACAAUGGGCGCAAGCCUGAUCCAGCCAUGCCGCGUGUGUGAAGAAGGCCUUUUGGUUGUAAAGCACUUUAAGCGAGGAGGAGGCUACUUGGAUUAAUACUCUAGGAUAGUGGACGUUACUCGCAGAAUAAGCACCGGCUAACUCUGUGCCAGCAGCCGCGGUAAUACAGAGGGUGCGAGCGUUAAUCGGAUUUACUGGGCGUAAAGCGUGCGUAGGCGGCUUUUUAAGUCGGAUGUGAAAUCCCUGAGCUUAACUUAGGAAUUGCAUUCGAUACUGGGAAGCUAGAGUAUGGGAGAGGAUGGUAGAAUUCCAGGUGUAGCGGUGAAAUGCGUAGAGAUCUGGAGGAAUACCGAUGGCGAAGGCAGCCAUCUGGCCUAAUACUGACGCUGAGGUACGAAAGCAUGGGGAGCAAACAGGAUUAGAUACCCUGGUAGUCCAUGCCGUAAACGAUGUCUACUAGCCGUUGGGGCCUUUGAGGCUUUAGUGGCGCAGCUAACGCGAUAAGUAGACCGCCUGGGGAGUACGGUCGCAAGACUAAAACUCAAAUGAAUUGACGGGGGCCCGCACAAGCGGUGGAGCAUGUGGUUUAAUUCGAUGCAACGCGAAGAACCUUACCUGGUCUUGACAUAGUAAGAACUUUCCAGAGAUGGAUUGGUGCCUUCGGGAACUUACAUACAGGUGCUGCAUGGCUGUCGUCAGCUCGUGUCGUGAGAUAUUGGGUUAAGUCCCGCAACGAGCGCAACCCUUUUCCUUAUUUGCCAGCGAGUAAUGUCGGGAACUUUAAGGAUACUGCCAGUGACAAACUGGAGGAAGGCGGGGACGACGUCAAGUCAUCAUGGCCCUUACGACCAGGGCUACACACGUGCUACAAUGGUCGGU